rnacentral:rRNA from 1 species
AUUGAACGCUGGCGGCAGGCCUAACACAUGCAAGUCGAGCGAGCGGCGGACGGGUGAGUAAUGUCUGGGAAACUGCCCGAUGGAGGGGGAUAACUACUGGAAACGGUAGCUAAUACCGCAUACCAUCAGAUGUGCCCAGAUGGGAUUAGCUGGUUGGUGGGGUAACGGCUCACCUAGGCGACGAUCCCUAGCUGGUCUGAGAGGCUGACCAGCCACACUGGAACUGAGACACGGGCCAGACUCCUACGGGAGGCAGCAGUGGGGAAUAUUGCACAAUGGGCGAAAGCCUGAUGCAGCCAUGCCGCGUGUGUGAAGAAGGCCUUCGGGUGGUAAAGCACUUUCAGCGGGGAGGCGGUACCCGCAGAAGAAGCACCGGCUAACUCCGUGCCAGCAGCCGCGGUAAUAC